rnacentral:rRNA from 1 species
GUGGGGAAUAUUGGACAAUGGGCGAAAGCCUGAUCCAGCCAUGCCGCGUGUGUGAAGAAGGUCUUCGGAUUGUAAAGCACUUUAAGUUGGGAGGAAGGGCAGUAAGUUAAUACCUUGCUGUUUUGACGUUACCGACAGAAUAAGCACCGGCUAACUUCGUGCCAGCAGCCGCGGUAAUACGAAGGGUGCAAGAGUUAAUCGGAAUUACUGGGCGUAAUGCGCGCGUAGGUGGUUUUGUAAGUUGGAGGUGAAAUCCCCGGGCUCAACCUUGGAACUGCCUCCAAAACUGCAUGACUAGAGUACGGUAGAGGGUAGUGGAAUUUCCUGUGUAGCGGUGAAAUGCGUAGAUAUAGGAAGGAACACCAGUGGCGAAGGCGACUACCUGGACUGAUACUGACACUGAGGUGCGAAAGCGUGGGGAGCAAACAGGAUUAGAAACCCGAGUAGUCC